UGUGACUCCAAACUCCUGACUUUUUGGAAUUGCCCGUGUGUUCAACAGUCUGAUAUUGGCCAGCUCUGAGUGACAUGGCAGAACAAAUGUAGCAGUGGGGAAUUGUGUGGACUUCCCCUCUGGCCCCACUCCCCCAGCCAAAGGAACAGCACAAGGUCAAGUCACCACUCACUGGAUUCCUCUGUAGAGUCUGGCCUGGAUCCUGGCAGGAGGGAAGCCCUAGAAGACCAGGCAAGCUGGGUUGCAUGCAGUGCUGCAGGAGUAGGGCUGGUGUCAGCUUCCCUGGACUUGCUCAGCUUCUAACUACCAGGAGGCCCUGGUUAAUUAGCAUGAAUCCCCUGCACCUCAGCAUGGCUGGCGCCACCUCUGAAUUUGGCCCUCUAGGAUCCAAGCAACGCUGUGUUGUUCUGCUGUCCUCCGAACAUCUUUUGUGCCACAAGCCCCUUCAGGCCUUCUCAGGCCUGGAUUUCACAUGUGAUGACACCGGUGCAACACGCUUCCACUGGAUCCAUGGCUGUAGUACAUGCUCCCCUCCCAGAGCUGAAAGAAGAACCCAGGAGUCCUGA
rnacentral:lncRNA from 1 species